ACAUAGCCUCUCUGGGUGGCUUGGCCCUCCUCACAGCAUGGCAAGCCAGGCUCCAGAGAAGCAUCCUGAGGACCAGUGUUCCUAGGGACCUCAUUCUUCUGACCUCAUUCCUACAACGUUUUGUCACUGCAAAGGAAAUCACCAAGGCCAGCAUGACAGCCCUCAACAGAAGCCAAGGCCAAGUCCUCGAACUUCCUAGUCUGCACAAUGACACUUCUGAUGAAACUGAAAAUGCCACCAGGGAGAAGCAGCUGAACUUCAAGGACCACAGAGGGCCAAGUGCAGGAGUAAGAGGCUGGCGUGCUGACAGUGGCCAAGGGCAUUGGAGGGAAGGACCUGUCAUCACUGGGCCAAGGAAGGAACUCCAGACUGCCUACUUCCAGAGGGCCUGCUGAGGAAUUUUAGCUUGAACUUGCCUGCCUUGACUAGGGCUUUCUGAGCAGCAGAUGAUUCUGCAAUGGUGUUAGUCCAGGCCUGGUUCUGCAUGACAUUGACCAUACUGUGCACCCUGGGGUCAUUAUGUCUUGGGCUUCAAGGGGCUCCAUGGGCUCCAGGGGGCUCCAUGUGACACUGCACAGAGCUCUCUCUAGGUCACCUGGAUGUGUCUCUUCCUAGGAACCCCAAAGAGCUCUCUCAACAAACACACCCACGAGUUCCAGGAGUGAGGCUGCAGGGAACAGCCUCACUCUCAGAGGGGAUACAGAAUUGUUCCACUGGACAAGGGCUGGGAUCGUCAUAGGAUGCCGUUGGCCUGUGGUUUCCAACAGAGGUGCAGUUCAUUGAACUGUGGUCUACAGUCCAUUCUCUAACUUGGGGACCCUUGAAGAAGUGUGGAAUCAUGACAACAACCCUGUUGGGAGACACUAUUAUUCCCAUCACAUGGAUGAGCACACGGAGGCAAAAGGAAGUUAUAUGAUUGUCUGAGAUCACCCAGUGAAGACUGUGUGGCUGGGAGUUGUCCCCAGUGUUAUCUGCACGCUGCUUCCUUUUGAUGCCUGGCCCUUCUUUAUCAAAAGAAGCAUUGGCAGAAUCUGGGUGUUUAUGGGUCAGCUCAAAAUAAAUUAC
rnacentral:lncRNA from 1 species